rnacentral:rRNA from 1 species
CUACAGGCUUAACACAUGCAAGUCGAGGGGCAGCAUGGUCUUAGCUUGCUAAGGCCGAUGGCGACCGGCGCACGGGUGAGUAACACGUAUCCAACCUGCCGUCUACUCUUGGACAGCCUUCUGAAAGGAAGAUUAAUACAAGAUGGCAUCAUGAGUCCGCAUGUUCACAUGAUUAAAGGUAUUCCGGUAGACGAUGGGGAUGCGUUCCAUUAGAUAGUAGGCGGGGCAACGGCCCACCUAGUCUUCGAUGGAUAGGGGUUCUGAGAGGAAGGUCCCCCACAUUGGAACUGAGACACGGUCCAAACUCCUACGGGAGGCAGCAGUGAGGAAUAUUGGUCAAUGGGCGAGAGCCUGAACCAGCCAAGUAGCGUGAAGGAUGACUGCCCUAUGGGUUGUAAACUUCUUUUAUAAAGGAAUAAAGUCGGGUAUGGAUACCCGUUUGCAUGUACUUUAUGAAUAAGGAUCGGCUAACUCCGUGCCAGCAGCCGCGGUAAUACGGAGGAUCCGAGCGUUAUCCGGAUUUAUUGGGUUUAAAGGGAGCGUAGAUGGAUGUUUAAGUCAGUUGUGAAAGUUUGCGGCUCAACCGUAAAAUUGCAGUUGAUACUGGAUAUCUUGAGUGCAGUUGAGGCAGGCGGAAUUCGUGGUGUAGCGGUGAAAUGCUUAGAUAUCACGAAGAACUCCGAUUGCGAAGGCAGCCUGCUAAGCUGCAACUGACAUUGAGGCUCGAAAGUGUGGGUAUCAAACAGGAUUAGAUACCCUGGUAGUCCACACGGUAAACGAUGAAUACUCGCUGUUUGCGAUAUACUGCAAGCGGCCAAGCGAAAGCGUUAAGUAUUCCACCUGGGGAGUACGCCGGCAACGGUGAGACUCAAAGGAAUUGACGGGGGCCCGCACAAGCGGAGGAACAUGUGGUUUAAUUCGAUGAUACGCGAGGAACCUUACCCGGGCUUAAAUUGCAGAUGAAUUACGGUGAAAGCCGUAAGCCGCAAGGCAUCUGUGAAGGUGCUGCAUGGUUGUCGUCAGCUCGUGCCGUGAGGUGUCGGCUUAAGUGCCAUAACGAGCGCAACCCUUGUUGUCAGUUACUAACAGGUUCCGCUGAGGACUCUGACAAGACUGCCAUCGUAAGAUGUGAGGAAGGUGGGGAUGACGUCAAAUCAGCAUGGCCCUUACGUCCGGGGCUACACACGUGUUACAAUGGGGGGUACAGAGGGCCGCUACCACGCGAGUGGAUGCCAAUCCCCAAAACCUCUCUCAGUUCGGACUGGAGUCUGCAACCCGACUCCACGAAGCUGGAUUCGCUAGUAAUCGCGCAUCAGCCACGGCGCGGUGAAUACGUUCCCGGGCCUUGUACACACCGCCCGUCAAGCCAUGGGAGCCGGGGGUACCUGAAGUGCGUAACCGCGAGGAGCGCCCUAGGGUAAAACUGGUGACUGGGGCUAAGUCAU